UCAUAACUCACUGUAGUUGGCAACACAAGUAGAUGAGAGUGGUAAAGGCGGCACAUGGCAUGCUUCUCUUUAUCAGUCGGGGCAUCGAGUAUAAUAGUCAGGAAGUUAUGUUGCAGUUUUAUAAAAUAUUUGUUUGGCUGCAUUUGGGUGUGCAUUACUGGUCAUCCCUAUAUGGGAAAGGCGUGGAGGCUUUGGGGAGGUUGCACAAGAGAGGUUUACCAGAACACUGCCUGGAUUGGAGAGUAUUAGCUAUAAGAAGAGGUCGGCAAUACUUGGAUCAAUUUAUCCUGGAGCUUUGGUAGGCAGAGUGGAGAAGUAUCUAAAAUGAUUGAGAGGCAUAGAUAUGGUAAA